GUUGACACUGCUGCCAUCACCCUGGGAAAGCAAUUUGUGGGCAGAGAUCUAGGCUGUUUAUAAAAAUGACAUGAGCAGCAGCUCCAACCUCAGGAGGCUUCGUAGGGAAAGAUAAAGAGGAGGAUUACAGAAGCUAAAGCUUUUGUUUAAAGAGAGAUUACAAAGCAUUUAGUUUGGAUCAAGUCAGCCUAAAGCUUACUUGCUAAAAUGUGCCCCUUUGCUCGGCUCUGCGAUGAAUUUUGCUCUUAAACUUCGUGCUCAGAUGGAAAGACGAAGAUGAGGCUUUAUUUGGAAUGAUCACAGAUGAGGCUGUUUUUCUCUCUCUCUUCUAUUAAUAUGAAUUCAGGAAACAUGAGGAUUAGAAGAGAUUCUAAUCAAUUGCCCAACAUUAGUUUUUCUAGUAACAAGGGCAAAUGUGCUUUCUAAGUACUUGAAUGUGAAAAGGAAAUCACGCAGCAGAAAUGGAUACAAGGUCAACACCUACAGAGAUUUUCAUGAAGUUAUGGUUUCUGUGUUGGAAAUUGUCUAAAAUAUAGACUGCCCAUGUUGGGAGAGUAAAAAAAUAGGUUUAAAAACAUUCCUUCUAUUUCCACCUUCUGAGACUGAAUUGGAUUGACUGCAUGGCUGAUCCAGUGACUGCAAAAACCUACAUAUUUAGGUAACUUUAAAAACGAAUUGACCAAAACUCAGCCAAUAUGUCAACUUUUUGUAGAUUUGGCCUUUGUUCAGCUGGGGAUCAUUCCUGGUCUUCUGUGUGUCAGGGAGAUUUUUCUGCUUCAACGAAUCUUUCCUUUUCUUUUGAAAUUAAAAUCUGAAGAAAAAUGAUAGAAUUCCAAAGGGAUCAUAUUCCAAAUUAGAUGUAUCUGAUUUAUUAAUUAAUUCAUUAAUACAGUAGCGAUUCAUGGAGCAGCUACUAGAUGCCUGGCUCUAUUCUGAGCGUUGGAAAUCCAGUGAUGAGUAAGACAAAUUCUCUGUGCUCAAGUUACAGGAGGAGAGACAGAAACUAAGUAGUUAAACGGAGAAGUAUAUACGAGAAUAUAAUUUCAGAUCAUGACACAUUCUUCUAUUCCCAAGAUCUGGACAGCCAAGGAAACAAGCAAUUCUUCUAUGGCAUCAAGUCUAUGGUGCUUACCUUACUUGAGUCGCGGAAUUAUGGAAGACAAGCAGUUUAAUUUCACAAGUAGUCAUUGAGCUCCUGUUAUGUUCUCAGCACAGCAGUAGACAGAAAUGAUAAUGAGGGGCGUAAACCUCAGUCUCAGCCUUUAAAGAAUUCCUGAUCUAGCACAGAUAAAGUGAGCUGCUUUUCUUUUUUCUUGGAGAUCCUGGGCUUCAGACAGAGAGACUGCUGGGGGAUGUGCAAGGUGGAAAGCCGUGUUUGUGAUUCAACCCCCUCACUCUGAAGUAGAGAGCUAAAGCUAAGAGCACAUUGACUGACGACGGGAUUUAGAAGCAUCUGCUAUCUACCAAGCCAAGAUGGGGAAACGCCCACAGGGAUGAGAGGAAGGAAUUCAUAGCAUGUACAGUGAAUCGUGUUGUUGUCUAAUACUAUGCUGCUAGGAGAUGGAGUAUUUGGUUCUGUGGAGCAUGCAGCAGUCCCACUGGAAUUCUAACAUAGGCCAGGUUACAUGAAUAAGAAAGAUGGACUUUAAUGAAGAUUAUUCCCUUUGAUGUAAGAGAGACCCAUGAAAGCAUCCAAACAAAAGAAAGGAAGAAGCAAGGAUUAAGACAGUCAACUCUCCCUUAGCCACAAGCCUGAAGAAAGAGCAGGGCCUGUUUCUCUGUCGUUGUGACCACGCCAGGCCUCGUGCAGGGCCCGACCUGUGGAAGUGACUCAGGAACUGCCAGUUUUAAGUGUCCCUUUUGUGAAACUGUAACACUCAUUUCGUCUAACUUCUGCUUUACAGCCUGGCACUAAGAUGCCAAAGUUUUUCUAGUUUUAGCUCAUAAUCGACUUCUCUAUGACUCAGGUCUCUCUCGUAGAAAAGAUAAUGCUGCCAGUGGCAGUUGCCUCACAGGCUCUGUAUCACCACUCCUACCCCCCUACAAACACUCAAAUUGGCUCCAGACUGGUUCUGGAUUAGUUAAUUCCUAAGCUCUUUCUGUGUUUUCCUGUAUUUGAAGAGCACAUGUCAGAGAGUUUGGUCCUCACAUACACGUUUCCAAAGCAGUAACAGCAGCUCAGUUCUAGGACGUUGGUCCUGCUGAAACCCAGGGAGGGAAAGGGAGAACUUUCUCUAGGGGGCAGUUUUCAUAGGCCCCUUAAAUUCCAUAGCAAGGGCUCUGUUAACAGACACUGAGGCAUAGGAGUAAGAAUGUCUGCUAGCAUGAGGGUAUGGGAAUAUGCUUCUAGAAAGAGUCAUACUCAGUAGAGGACCAGGGUGCCAGGGACACAGGAAUCAAAGGAGAAAUGGAAAUCAGGAACGUUUAAAUACAUUGAAUGGGAAACAAUGAUACCUCGGAAAAGACUUGAUGAUUGGACUGCUACCGUUGCAAAUUUCUAAACUCUAGAACACAUGCUAUGUCAAAUGGCGCUUUCUGGGAUGGGAGAUAGAACUCAUAGGUGGAGUUCCCUCUCAGAUAUGAUAGAAGUACUGUGCCCAAAUUAACUGUUGUUUAAAAAGACCUCUCAACAGAGUUUAAAUUUGCAGGUGAUGGUUUUCUUGAGCAGGCAUGGCCUGAUUGACCUCCUUUGGAGGCGGAAUCAAAAUUUCGCCCAUAUACCCCCUUCUCUCAGAUAUCAUUGACUCUUUGCUGUAUUCUUCGGCAGCCCUAAGUUCUGGGUUUCUUUGCCUGAGAUGAGGGCUUGAGGACUGGGAAUUACCUUCGCUUCUACAUUGUUAGGUUUACAGCAUACUGGAGUAAUCUCUUAUGUUCUAAUAAAUGUUUGAACUCUUUAAAAAGUGAGGUACAUGACGGACUUGAUGUGGAACUAAUUCAGCUUCUGUGGUCCAAAGGAGCCACCUAUAUUCCAGUGAUGGACAACACAGGCUGUGGUUGCUAAAGGAACCAAAUUCUAUUCAGGCAUUGAGAAAACAUCUUCAACUAAGGGAAAGCAGAAUACAAAAAGGACUUCACUUUCUUUGGGCUUUUCGUACCCGAGGACAAGAAUAUUUGAUUUUGGAGUUGAAUUACUUUGAAUUUUGAUGUAUUUGAACUUGACUUUCCAGACAAUCUAAUCUAUGGACUUUAUCCCAAAAAAUUUUAUCCUGGAAGGGAGUUUAUAUUCCGAUAUUGGGAAUUUUAUUAUUGGAUUAAUUUGAAAUUUCCUGGUGAGUUAUAUUAGGCAGUGUGCUUGAACAGAAAUCAGGAUGGGGAAAACAUAGGCAGGCAAAUAUCGGUUGGCUACAGUGGUCUUAAAAUUAAUUUAAUUAAUGACCUGUUUCAGUGGGGAAACAUCUACACUGUCAUCAGCAACCUCAGUAGAGUCCUCAAUGCAGGAGGGAUUGGUAUGGGGGAGAACUUUAUAAAAAUAGAAUUAGACGACCCUAAUGGGCUGCCCAAAUUCUCCCUCAAGGAGAUAACCAUACCAUUUUGACCAUAUAUUUAAAGUUAAACCAAAUGAGUUAAGAGAACCAAGGUCUUGGGAGUAUUGAUUGGAAAGCAUCCGUUAUCCUGGUUCAUGUUCCCAAGGGAAGCAACAUCCAUCAGCAUAACCUCUUGGCUCCUCUCCUCUCAUCUUACUCACUCCCUUUCAAGGCAGGUGGAAUGAAUGAUCAAGUUGGGGAGACAGGGAGAAGAACCAGGGAUGCUCAGUCCUUUCUUUGCUCUCCUUUUGGGCUCUUUCUGCCUUCAGAGAGCCUACGUUCUUCUCUGCUCUUGGCCAUGAGCUAAGCUUAGUGCUUGAAGCUUCUCUUGGGGAGGACUACAGUUUUGUCAUGCUAUUCAAGAUUGAGGUGCAGUAUUAUGAAAUCUGUUGUUGCUUUUCACUUAAACCACAAUCUCUGUCACUUCUAUAAUUGAAAAAGUUGACGUUUUGAACUCUCUCUGCCUUGUCAUAGAUGCUGGAAAGACUUCUAUUUAUAUGCUAGAUAGUCUUUGUCAAACUACUUAACCUAUUUCUCAAUUUCCUCUUGUGUAAAAUGGGGGAAAACCUGUAUCUACUUUUACAAGAUUGUUAUAUGUUAAAAGAGUUAAUGGAAAGUGCUUAGGAAAGUACUAUGUGAGUGUUUGCUAUUACUUCUUUAUCUUGCCUAUCAAUUUGUACAGAAUUUGGGGAAUGGGGAUGAGAGAUGCUUUUUAUUGGGUCUCCCAUGAAGUCCAAUAAUCAGUACUACGUACACACACACAAUAAUGUCAUAGUCCUGGCUUCAGUUUAGUAGUAGGAACAGACAAGUGAAUUGAUAAUUGUAGUACUGCGUGUGACGUGUUAUUAUAAAGACAUGCUAUGUGCUAUGAGAAGUCAGAGAUGGGAGCAACUGACAAUUCAUAUGUUACUACAGCUGUACUCGAGACUAGGCCAAGACAGAUUGUGAAUUGGAGCCUAAUAUUUUUCAGCCCCAGAGUUAUACUUUCAUUGUAGUGCCCUCCUUCCCCAUUUUUCUGCCACACAGUGAUCUAUGCUCUCUCACCACUCCCUGGCUGCCCUCCUGGAGUUGCUCCCUCCAAUAUUCAGUUCCAGAUUCAAUAGCAGGUUGGCACAACGGCUGCCUGAGGCACCCAUCCAUAUGAGCUGCCAAACCAUCAGCUGAGGAUUGAAAACAUCCCUGGAUAUAUAACAAGGUAGAGAAAAUUGAGUUUAUCAGAAAAGAAAGGACAUGUGUACCAGACGAGGAUUAUAGUCCAAGCAGCAGAAGCUAGCUGGGGAUGAUUAAGCAGAAAAGGAAUUUAUUAAAAAGAUAUUUAGCAGAUCACAGAAUCAUCAAAAGCAAGCUGGAAACUAAGUAUUUAGGGCAAUGUUCCAAAACCACGUUGUACUGCCGGUCUGGUGAGAAAACUGCAGCUGAGGCCACUGCACAAUAGAUAAAACGAUUUGCACCACUGCCGUUUGUGCAUCAGAACGUCACUGCUUCUGCAACCACUGUUGCUGCCUGUACUGAUGCCUCUUCCUCACCAGCAAAGCAACUUGCAUCUUCUAUAGCCACUCCAGACAAUGCUGGAUAUUUCUCCUUUGGUCUUGCAGCACAACAACAGCAGAAAAACAGAUUCUGUGCAAUUCUUGCUUUUGUUACUGCUUACUUUCUAUAACAGUUUUGAAAAGGUGGCAUCCGGUUGGUGGAGUCCAGGUAACAGGUUUGAAUUCUAGCUUCAAAGAAGCUGACAAAGCCAUGUCUCUGGCUUCUCCCUUGGGGUGGUGUUGGAAAGGUCUUAGGAAGCCAGAACACAUGACAGAUGUCUAGUAUACCACUAAGAACCUUGGAGGAAGAGUGAGACCCUUUAAAGACUUGAUUGAAUAAUGAUUGAUGCUAG
rnacentral:lncRNA from 1 species